AUGGACCCAGCGACUUCGGAUCCUCUCCACUCAGCCGUCGAGAUCCAGGGAGCGAUGCUAGGCAGACACGAGCAGGAAUUGUCUGCUGCUCGACAUGCCGUUGAGACCCUGGCCACCCAAGUCUCCAACCUCACAGAACAGGUUCACCAUCUCCGCCUCNNNNNNNNNNGUGUAUGUUUCUACCAUUUCAGAGUUUCAGUGUAUGUUUCUACCAUUUCAGAGUUUCAGUGUAUGUUUCUACUAUUUCAGAGUUUCAGUGUAUGUUUCUACUAUUUCAGAGUUUCAGUGUAUGUUUCUACCAUUUCAGAGUUUCAGUGUAUGUUUCUACCAUUUCAGAGUUUCAGUGUAUGUUUCUACUAUUUCAGAGUUUCAGUGUAUGUUUCUACUAUUUCAGAGUUUCAGUGUAUGUUUCUACUAUUUCAGAGUUUCAACGUAUUCAUAACGUAGCUCUGGGUUGUUUUGCUGCUUAUGUUUUUAAUUUGACAUUUGUCUUAGAUGUUUUCUAAUUGUUUUAUGUUUCGUUUUUUUGUUUCUGAUGUUGCAUGUCUUUGGUAUUCAUGAAUUUGCUUUUGAUUAUGCUUUUUGGAAUAUGCAAUUGAUGUUUCGAGCAGUCGAAUUGACACCUCUGUUAUUGUUUUGGUAUUGUGAGUUAUUGAAGACCUGUAUAGAGUUCAUCAUUUCAUUUGAGUUCAAUGUUUCAAUGAAUUUCUCUGCAUUGUUUGCAGCCAAGUCCUUAUUAUUUCAAGAACAGCUCAAAUAAGCAAAGAGAAAUGACAGUCCAUCAUUACUUUAAGACAUGAAGGUCAGUCAAUGCAAAAAAAAUCCAGACACAAAAAAACAUUAAGACAUAAAAUCCAUCAAGCGCUAUGAUGAAACUGGCUUUCAUGAGGACUGCCACAGGAAAGGAAGACCCAGAGUUACCUCUGUUGCAGAGGAUAAGUUCAUUAGAGUUACCUGGCUGUCAUGAGGACUGCCACAGGAAAGGAUGACCCAGAGUUACCUCUGUUGCAGAGGAUAAGUUCAUUAGAGUUACCUGGCUGUCAUGAGGACUGCCACAGGAAAGGAUGACCCAGAGUUACCUGGCUGUCAUGAGGACUGCCACAGGAAAGGAUGACCCAGAUUUACCUCUGUUGCAGAGGAUAAGUUC
rnacentral:lncRNA from 13 species